rnacentral:rRNA from 1 species
UGGUAACUCUAGAGCUAAUACAUGCUAAAAACCUCGACUUCGGAAGGGGUGUAUUUAUUAGAUAAAAAACCAAUGCCCUUCGGGGCUCCUUGGUGAUUCAUAAUAACUCAACGAAUCGCAUGGCCUUGCGCCGGCGAUGGUUCAUUCAAAUUUCUGCCCUAUCAACUUUCGAUGGUAGGAUAGUGGCCUACCAUGGUUUCUACGGGUAACGGGGAAUUAGGGAUCCAUUCCGGAGAGGGAGCCUGAGAAACGGCUACCACAUCCAAGGAAGGCAGCAGGCGCGCAAAUUACCCAAUCCCGACACGGGGAGGUAGUGACAAUAAAUACUGAUACAGGGCUCUUUUGGGUCUUGUAAUUGGAAUGAGUACAAUUUAAAUCCCUUAACGAGGAACAAUUGGAGGGCAAGUCUGGUGCCAGCAGCCGCGGUAAUUCCAGCUCCAAUAGCGUAUAUUAAAGUUGUUGCAGUUAAAAAGCUCGUAGUUGAAACUUGGCCUUGGCUGUCCGGUCCGCCUCACCGCGUGCACUGGUUCGGCCGGGGCUUUCCUUCUGGGGAUCCGCAUGGCCUUCAUUGGUCGUGUUGGGGAACCAGGACUUUUACUUUGAAAAAAUUAGAGUGUUCAAAGCAGGCCUAUGCUCGAAUACAUUAGCAUGGAAUAAUAGAAUAGGACGUGUGGUUCUAUUUUGUUGGUUUCUAGGACCGCCGUAAUGAUUAAUAGGGAUAGUCGGGGGCAUCAGUAUUCAAUUGUCAGAGGUGAAAUUCUUGGAUUUAUUGAAGACUAACUACUGCGAAAGCAUUUGCCAAGGAUGUUUUCAUUAAUCAGUGAACGAAAGUUAGGGGAUCGAAGACGGU